GUCAGGAUGACCAAGCGGUCUAAGGUGCUGCGUACAGAUCGCAGUCUCCCCUGGAGGCGUGGGUUCAAAUCUCACUUUCGACA
rfam:Danio rerio chromosome 4, GRCz11 reference primary assembly.